GAUGAACGCUGGCGGCGUGCCUAAUACAUGCAAGUCGAGCGAAUGGAUUAAGAGCUUGCUCUUAUGAAGUUAGCGGCGGACGGGUGAGUAACGCGUGGGUAACCUGCCCAUGAGACUGGGAUAACUCCGGGAAACCGGGGCUAAUACCGGAUAACAUUUUGAACCGCAUGGUUCGAAAUUGAAAGGCGGCUUCGGCUGUCGCUCAUGGAUGGACCCGCGUCGCAUUAGCUAGUUGGUGAGGUAACGGCUCACCAAGGCAACGAUGCGUAGCCGACCUGAGAGGGUGAUCGGCCACACUGGGGCUGAGACACGGCCCAGACUCCUACGGGAGGCAGCAGUAGGGAAUCUUCCGCAAUGGACGAAAGUCUGACGGAGCAACGCCGCGUGAGUGAUGAAGGCUUUCGGGUCGUAAAACUCUGUUGUUAGGGAAGAACAAGUGCUAGUUGAAUAAGCUGACACCUUGACGGUACCUAACCAGAAAGCCACGGCUAACUACGUGCCAGCAGCCGCAGUAA
rnacentral:rRNA from 1 species